rnacentral:rRNA from 1 species
CACCAAGACUACGAUGGAUAGGGGUUCUGAGAGGAAGGUCCCCCACAUUGGAACUGAGACACGGUCCAAACUCCUACGGGAGGCAGCAGUGAGGAAUAUUGGUCAAUGGACGCGAGUCUGAACCAGCCAAGUAGCGUGAAGGAUGACUGCCCUAUGGGUUGUAAACUUCUUUUAUAUGGGAAUAAAGUGGUCCACGUGUGGACUUUUGUAUGUACCAUAUGAAUAAGGAUCGGCUAACUCCGUGCCAGCAGCCGCGGUAAUACGGAGGAUCCGAGCGUUAUCCGGAUUUAUUGGGUUUAAAGGGAGCGUAGGCGGAUUGUUAAGUCAGUUGUGAAAGUUUGCGGCUCAACCGUAAAAUUGCAGUUGAUACUGGCAGUCUUGAGUGCAGUAGAGGUGGGCGGAAUUCGUGGUGUAGCGGUGAAAUGCUUAGAUAUCACGAAGAACUCCGAUUGCGAAGGCAGCUCACUGGAGUGUAACUGACGCUGGUGCUCGAAAGUGUGGGUAUCAAACAGGAUUAGAUACCCUGGUAGUCCACACAGUAAACGAUGAAUACUCGCUGUUUGCGAUAUACAGUAAGCGGCCAAGCGAAAGUAUUAAGUAUUCCACCUGGGGAGUACGCCGGCAACGGUGAAACUCAAAGGAAUUGACGGGGGCCCGCACAAGCGGAGGAACAUGUGGUUUAAUUCGAUGAUACGCGAGGAACCUUACCCGGGCUUAAAUUGCAAAUGAAUUAUGGGGAAACCCAUACGCCGCAAGGCAUUUGUGAAGGUGCUGCAUGGUUGUCGUCAGCUCGUGCCGUGAGGUGUCGGCUUAAGUGCCAUAACGAGCGCAACCCUUAUCUUCAGUUACUAACAGGUCAUGCUGAGGACUCUGGAGAGACUGCCGUCGUAAGAUGUGAGGAAGGUGGGGAUGACGUCAAAUCAGCACGGCCCUUACGUCCGGGGCUACACACGUGUUACAAUGGGGGGUACAGAAGGCCGCUACCUGGUGACAGGAUGCCAAUCCCAAAAACCUCUCUCAGUUCGGAUCGAAGUCUGCAACCCGACUUCGUGAAGCUGGAUUCGCUAGUAAUCGCGCAUCAGCCAUGGCGCGGUGAAUACGUUCCCGGGCCUUGCACU